CAUUAUUGAAGCAACAGAGUGCACUUUAUUGUGGCUCGACCCUUCAUAUCCAUUCACACUGUGCACUGUAACCCUUUUAUUAGACCCUACAAGUCGAAGAAUGUACUACUUUGAUAAAGUAAACAAAACUUUCAACAACGGAUCUCUUGGUUCUCGCAUCGAUGAAGAACGCAGCGAAAUGCGAUAAGUAAUGUGAAUUGCAGAAUUCAGUGAAUCAUCGAAUCUUUGAACGCACCUUGCACCUUUUGGUAUUCCGAGAGGUACAUCUGUUUGAGUGUCAUGAAUACCUCAACCCUUACAUUUUUUAAAUGUAGUGGUGUUGGAUGAUGAGUGUUGCUGUACUUGUGCAGCUCACUUUAAAUAUAUAAGCCAUCUCAGUACACUGGAUUGACUUGAUGUGAUAAGAUUUUCAUCAAGGAUGCUUCUCAGCAGCCAGAUUGUACAUGAGCCGCUACUAGCCCCAUUGUAGUCCUUUAAUUUAGACCUCAAAUCAGAUGGGACUACCCGCUGAACUUAAGCAUAUCA
rnacentral:rRNA from 1 species